AUUAAAAAUAGCAGAAGAAGGCGCCGCAUUCAGCCGCCCCGAAGAAGGAUGGUUGCAGAUCAAGCAUCCUCCUCUGUAUUGACAUCACUGUCCCCAACUUCAUCCCAUUCAUCCCAUUCAUCCUUGGUAGUGCCACAGACUGCACUAUCCCCAGCUUUAUCCCAUUCAUCUGAUUCCAGCGUUAUUCUGGAGUCCACAAGAAAAAGGAGGAACCCAACAGGGUUAAUGGACCAGAAUGAAGCAAAACAGACUGCAAGACUGCAAAGAAUAUGGAUGAGUUUCUGUCAGCAACUGAAUCUGAGUCUGAAGACAACCAGCUCAAGACAACCGUUCCUCCUUUGCAUCGGUGAGCAAAAGAAGAAUAUCCAAAGGUUCUACCUUAUUAUCGACCGAAAACCAAUCCCGUGGAAGGCACACACAUCAGUGGCAGCUUUUGAUGAACUGUUCAAAGCUCACUACGUCUUCAGUCUCUCAUAUGACGAAGCUUUUUGUAAUUUUUACACAUUCAUCCAAACCACUAUAUACAACAUCGAUGUCGGAAGAGCAAAGGAGAGCCUGCGUGUUAAAGAACUCCGAGCACGACUGCUACAGCGAAGUGCUGUAACCGAUAAACAGCCUUGUUCAGAUGUUCACGUGUUUUGUCUGUAAAACACACCACAAAACAUGUGUGGUUCUUUGUCAACAUUUAAAAUUCCAACAUGGUUUAUAUCCUGGCAAAAAGUUGAGUUUAAAAUGUGGAGAGCUCCAUUGCCCAUUAUCAUUUUGUACUUAUAGUGGCUUCCGAAAGCACCUCACCAAGGUGCAUAGACAGGUUGAUCAAGAGAUUUAUAUUCUUCAUGAUGUUUCUACUCAGCGAAAAUGUGAGGCGGAAUGUUAAAGUGAUUCCCCAAAUGUUGUUGCAAAAGUCAGAAAACUCUGUUGAUACAAGUCAACUAUCGUCAAUGUGUGGAUCAAUUGUUGCGCAUUUGCAAGCAUCAGGUCUCUCUGAAAGUGCUGUCCAAACGAUUGUUUGUUCAAUGGAAGAAGUUGUCAAUGAGGUUAAAAGUCAGGCAAAAAAUGCUGUUCUUAAAACAAUGUCUUCUGAAAAUACAAGUUCAGACACUCCAGGAUGCAGAAUAGAUGAUUGUUUUGAUCAAUUAGGUAAUCCUUUUACAGCGUUAAACACAGAGUCAAAAAGUCGUAAAUAUUAUAAUGAAAAAUGGGAAAUAGUUGAACCUAAAGAAUGUGUCCUUGGUGUGAGGCUGGAUUUGCGCAGAGAUAGAAUAACAGGGGUAUACAGUGAGGUUCCUGUAACGGACAAGUGUACGUAUGUACCCAUUCUGAGUACACUUAAAUCCAUAUUCAAAAAUUACCAAGUAAGAGAAAGCUUUCUACGGGACAAACAGAGUGAAAAUGGCAUUUACAAAGACAUCAAUGACGGGUCAUAUUGCCAAAAUCAUGCCCUGUUCUCACAGCAAAAACAUGCACUACAGAUUCUACUAUAUUACGAUGACUUUGAAACGGCUAACCCUCUCGGUUCCAAAAAGGGGAUCCACAAACUAGGUUGUGUCUACUUUACUUU